UGGGGAAUAUUGCACAAUGGGCGCAAGCCUGAUGCAGCCAUGCCGCGUGUAUGAAGAAGGCCUUCGGGUUGUAAAGUACUUUCAGCGGGGAGGAAGGCGUUGUGGUUAAUAACCACAGCGAUUGACGUUACCCGCAGAAGAAGCACCGGCUAACUCCGUGCCAGCAGCCGCGGUAAUACGGAGGGGGCAAGCGUUAAUCGGAAUUACUGGGCGUAAAGCGCACGCAGGCGGUCUGUUAAGUCAGAUGUGAAAUCCCCGGGCUCAACCUGGGAACUGCAUUUGAAACUGGCAGGCUUGAGUCUCGUAGAGGGGGGUAGAAUUCCAGGUGUAGCGGUGAAAUGCGUAGAGAUCUGGAGGAAUACCGGUGGCGAAGGCGGCCCCCUGGACGAAGACUGACGCUCAGGUGCGAAAGCGUGGGGAGCAAACA
rnacentral:rRNA from 1 species